UCCUAGGGAUGAACAAAGAAAGUGGUUGCAUGAGGUGGAAUCUACUCCUGGUGAAGAUGCUGAGAA
rnacentral:pre_miRNA from 1 species